AUUAGAGUUUGAUCCUGGCUCAGGACGAACGCUGGCGGCGUGCCUAACACAUGCAAGUCGGGCGAAGAAGCUCCUCCGGGAGUGGAUUAGCGGCGGACGGGUGAGUAACACGUGGGCAACCUGCCUCAAAGAGGGGGAUAGCCUCCCGAAAGGGAGAUUAAUACCGCAUAAAAGGUAAAUAUCGCAUGAUAAAUACCUUAAAGGAGAAAUCCGCUUUGAGAUGGGCCCGCGUCGCAUUAGCUAGUUGGUGGGAUAACAGCCCACCAAGGCGACGAUGCGUAGCCGACCUGAGAGGGUGAACGGCCACAUUGGAACUGAGAGACGGUCCAGACUCCUACGGGAGGCAGCAGUGGGGAAUAUUGCACAAUGGGGGAAACCCUGAUGCAGCAACGCCGCGUGAGUGAAGAAGGUUUUCGGAUCGUAAAGCUCUGUCAUCCGGGACGAUAAUGACGGUACCGGAAGAGGAAGCCACGGCUAACUACGUGCCAGCAGCCGCGGUAAUACGUAGGUGGCGAGCGUUGUCCGGAAUUACUGGGCGUAAAGGGUGUGCAGGCGGAUAUUUAAGUGAGAUGUGAAAGACCCGGGCUUAACCCGGGCAGUGCAUUUCAAACUGGAUAUCUAGAGUGCAGGAGAGGAGAACGGAAUUCCUAGUGUAGCGGUGAAAUGCGUAGAGAUUAGGAAGAACACCAGUGGCGAAGGCGGUUCUCUGGACUG
rnacentral:rRNA from 1 species